UACGUAGGGGGCGAGCGUUGUCCGGAGUUACUGGGCGUAAAGGGCGCGCAGGCGGUCUGGUAAGUUUGGAGUGACAGUGCUCGGCUUAACUGAGCAAGGCCUUCGAAAACUAUCAGACUUGAGCACUCAAGAGGGACAUAGAAUUCCGGGUGGAGUGGUGAAAUGCGUAGAUAUCCGGAGGAAUACCAAAGGCGAAGGCAGUGUCCUGGGGAGUGUCUGACGCUCAUGCACGAAAGCGUGGGGAGCAAACAGG
rnacentral:rRNA from 1 species